GGGACAAAUUUGCAGUGGAGUAGUUCAGUAAGGUCAGAUGAUCCUUCUAAUCUACACUACUCCAAAUUUGGACCC
rnacentral:pre_miRNA from 1 species